UGGAUGAAUGAUGACCGGUGUUCAUGUAUGAGUCUUUCAUGAUGAAUCCUACGGGUCUGGAACUCUGAGGUCCAA
ensembl:snoRNA